rnacentral:rRNA from 1 species
GAUGAACGCUGGCGGCGUGCCUAAUACAUGCAAGUCGAGCGAACGGACGAGAAGCUUGCUUCUCUGAUGUUAGCGGCGGACGGGUGAGUAACACGUGGAUAACCUACCUAUAAGACUGGGAUAACUUCGGGAAACCGGAGCUAAUACCGGAUGAUAUUUUGAACCGCAUGGUUCAAAAGUGAAAGACGGUCUUGCUGUCACUUAUAGAUGGAUCCGCGCUGCAUUAGCUAGUUGGUAAGGUAACGGCUUACCAAGGCAACGAUGCAUAGCCGACCUGAGAGGGUGAUCGGCCACACUGGAACUGAGACACGGUCCAGACUCCUACGGGAGGCAGCAGUAGGGAAUCUUCCGCAAUGGGCGAAAGCCUGACGGAGCAACGCCGCGUGAGUGAUGAAGGUCUUCGGAUCGCAAAACUCUGUUAUUAGGGAAGAACAUAUGUGUAAGUAACUGUGCACAUCUUGACGGUACCUAAUCAGAAAGCCACGGCUAACUACGUG